UACGUAGGUGGCAAGCGUUACUCGGAAUCACUAGGCGUAAAGCGCAGGUAGGCGGCUGGAUAAGUUUCUUGUGAAAGCUCCUGGCUUAACUGGGAGAGGUCAAGGAAUACUGUCUGACUUGAGUGUGGUAGGGGUAACUGGAAUUCCCGGUGUAGCGGUGAAAUGCGUAGAUAUCGGGAGGAAUACCUAUGGCGAAGGCAGGUUACUGGGCCAUCACUGACGCUGAGCUGCGAAAGCUAGGGGAGCAAACAGG
rnacentral:rRNA from 1 species